rnacentral:rRNA from 1 species
CCUACGGGAGGCAGCAGUGAGGAAUAUUGGUCAAUGGACGAGAGUCUGAACCAGCCAAGUCGCGUGAAGGAUGACUGCCCUAUGGGUUGUAAACUUCUUUUAUAAAGGAAUAAAACGAGGCACGUGUGCCUUUUUGCAUGUACUUUAUGAAUAAGGAUCGGCUAACUCCGUGCCAGCAGCCGCGGUAAUACGGAGGAUCCGAGCGUUAUCCGGAUUUAUUGGGUUUAAAGGGAGCGUAGGUGGGUUGUUAAGUCAGUUGUGAAAGUUUGCGGCGCAACCGUAAAAUUGCAAUUGAUACUGGCAGUCUUGAGUACAGUAGAGGUAGGCGGAAUGCGUGGUGUAGCGGUGAAAUGCUUAGAUAUCACGAAGAACCCCGAUUGCGAAGGCAGCAUACUAAACUGUGACUGACGUUGAUGCUCGAAAGUGUGGGUAUCAAACAGGAUUAGAUACCCCAGUAGUC